ensembl:lncRNA uncharacterized LOC115355357
UGGGCGGCGGAUAGGAAAAUGACAACUACGCCGGUUGGAAAGCAGCAAAGACACUUCGCGCCAGGUGUAAAAUAGGGCCCCCAGUGUUUCCUUAAGCAUAUUUAUCCUAUUUAGAUGAUUGGCAAAGCAAAAAUAACCCCAACUUUGGAUUACCAGCGUUAAAAGCAGAGAUGGAGCCUUGGAGCCUACUCAUGCCAGGCACUGCUCGUUGCACCAGGAGCAGGUUGAGCUAGCUUUGCUAAUGUAACAGUCACAUUAUGCCAACAUGUGGAUAUACACGUCAAGACAGAGAUACAUUCAGUGGGACUUCUAUUAUAACAUAAAAAAGUUGUCCACAUGGAGGAACCAGAGGGCAGCUGUAUCAAGACUUUCAGCAGGCCAGCCAUGUUAAAAGAUGACGCUCAGCUGUUAUUUGCCACUGGAGACUCACAAUUUAUGUGCUUUAAAAGGAGCACUGCAACCAUUUUAACAAAUUUACUAUCAUUAUCAAAUUGCUACAGCUAUUCUUUGUUUUGGACAUAAACUAUAGUGCUAAUAAAAAUGUCACACAAUAUGCCGUGCCUGCAGUAACUCAUCGUUUUCCCCUGAUGAGAAGAGAAACUGGUUUCAUUUGGCAUGUGCAGUAAAACCCGGCAUGGAUCGGAUAUUGUAUUUGUUAGAAUAAAAAGUGUACCUGAUGUGAAAUACUGGAUGAUUGG